rnacentral:rRNA from 1 species
UUGUAAUCUGUAGAAGGUGCCUCGGGUGCGACACCGGUCCAAGUCCCUUGGAAUGGGGCGUCACAGAGGGUGAGAAUCCCGUACGUGGCCGGAGGUCAACCCCGUGCGAGGCCCUUUCGACGAGUCGAGUUGUUUGGGAAUGCAGCUCUAAAUGGGUGGUAAAUUUCAUCUAAAGCUAAAUACCGGCCAGAGACCGAUAGCGCACAAGUAGAGUGAUCGAAAGAUGAAAAGCACUUUGAAAAGAGAGUUAAAAAGUACGUGAAAUUGUUGAAAGGGAAGCGCUUGCAACCAGACUCGCGCGCGGGUGCUCAGCCGUCCUUCGGGGCGGUGCGCUCUCCCGUGCUCGGGCCAGCAUCGGUUCGGGCGGUCGGAUAAAGGUCCCGGGAACGUAGUUCCUCUCGGGGAAUGUUAUAGCCCGGGGCGUAAUGCGUCCAGCCCGGACCGAGGACCGCGCUUUUGCUAGGAUGCUGGCGUAAUGGUUGCCAGCGACCCGUCUUGAAACACGGACCAGUGAGUUCUCCCCGAUUUUUUUUUUUUUUUUUUUUUUUCCCAAGUGAAUAAUUUGCUAACUCUUUUUGCAGAGGAGUCGACCAACUGCGCGAGUGUUAGGGCGUCAAACCCUUGCGCGCAAUGAAAGUGAACGGAGGUGCGAGCUUCGGCGCAGCAUCGACCGAUCCUGAAGUUUACGGAUGGAUUUGAGUAUGAGCGAAGUUGGUCGGACCCGAAAGAUGGUGAGCUAUGCGUGAAUAGGGUGAAGCCAGAGGAAACUCUGGUGGAGGCUCGCAGCGGUUCUGACGUGCAAAUCGAUCGUCAAAUUUGCGUAUAGGGGCGAAAGACUAAUCGAACCAUCUAGUAGCUGGUUCCUGUCGAAGUUUCCCUCAGGAUAGCAGCAACGAAAACAGUCUCAUGAGGUAGAGCGAACGAUUAGAGGCCUUGGGGCAAAAAUUGCCUUAACCUAUUCUCGAACUUCGAAUAUGUGAGAAGUCCUUGUUACUUAGUUGAA